CCUACGGGAGGCAGCAGUGAGGAAUAUUGGUCAAUGGGCGGAAGCCUGAACCAGCCAAGUAGCGUGCGGGAUGAAGGCCCUACGGGUCGUAAACCGCUUUUACACGGGGAUAACACCCCACGUGUGGAGGUCUGCAGGUACCGUGCGAAUAAGGGCCGGCAACGUCCGUGCUAGCAGCCGCGGUAAUACGGAAGGCCCGAGCGUUAUCCGGAUUCAUUGGGUUAAAGGGGAGCGUAGGCGGGGGUUCAAGUGAGCUGUAAAAUCGCGCGGCUCAACCGCGCCCCGCAGUUGAAACUGGACGCCUUGAGUUCACGACAGGCAGGCGGAAUUCGUGGUGUAGCGGUGAAAUGCAUAGAUAUCACGAGGAACCCCGAUUGCGAAGGCAGCCUGCCGGGGUGCGACUGACGCUGAGGCUCGAAGGUGCGGGUAUCAAACAGGAUUAGAUACCCUAGUAGUC
rnacentral:rRNA from 1 species